rnacentral:rRNA from 1 species
GACGAACGCUGGCGGCGGGCUUAACACAUGCAAGUCGAACGGAAAGGCCCUGCUUUUGUGGGGUGGUCGGAUGGAGAAGGGGGGAGUAACACGUGUGUACCCUGCCCUUGACUUUGGGAUAACUUCAUAAAACAUGGGCCAAUACCGGGUAGGAGCUCUUGGUGCAUGGUGGGGGUUGGAAAGUUUCGGCAGUUGGGGAUGGAAUCGCGGCCUAUCAGCUUGUUGGAGGGGUAGUGGCUGAGCAUGGCCUGGAGGGGUAGCCUGGCUGGGCGGGUGACCGGCCACAUUGCAACUGGGCUACGGCCCAGACGCGUACGGGAGGCAACAGUGGGGAAUAUUGCACAAGGGGCGGAAGCCAGCUGUAGCAAAGCCGCGUGCGGUAUGACGUCCUGCGGUUUGUAUACCGCUUUCGCCUGUGACGAAGCGUUAGUGACGGUAACAGGUAAAGAAGCCCCGGCUAACUACGUG